GCUGAAAUUCCUUCUUCUACACAAUCAUUUUGUAGUACAGAAUUUUUCUAGUUUUCAAUCUAGCAAGCCUACUUAUUAUUAAGGCAUAAUUCUCUUCUAAGGAUCCACUAUGUCAGCAAAGUUCAUCCAGUGUUAGGAAAAGACAUGGUUUUGAUGUCGUUGGCUGGAAGAUUUGGAUUUCUAAACUGAGAGACAUCCAGAUUGCAGAAUAAUAGCAGUUUGACAUAACUUUUACUGCUAUGACACCAUUUUAUGGAAUCCUGGGAUUUGGAGAUUGUCGUAUCACCAAAGUUCUCUGACACACAAAGAUUUUAUUAAAGUAUAAAAUUAUUGAAUACAGCGAAAGAGUGGGAACAAUGUGAAGUAACAGAAAGAUAAGAAAGAAAGAAAAAGAAAGAGAAGAAAAAGAAAAAAAGCAUAAAAGUGCAUUAAAAAAUGACUUCCAUCUUUGCCUUUGCGUAUCCCAUUUCUAUUUGUAUAUAAAAAAGAGGGUGAUAAAUAAAAAAAACAAUUAUAAAUCAUCCUCUAUCAAUAUUAUGAAAAAGGCGAACACUGAAAAAACCUAGUGUUUGCCUUUAUGUUGUCUAAGUCACGGUUUCUUUACUAGCCAUAAAAACAGUACGUUGAUAGCCACCAGGAGAAGUUGUCCUUCUGUUCAUUCCCUCAUGGCCUUCAA